UACGUAGGGGGGCAAGCGUUGUCCGGAUUUAUUGGGCGUAAAGAGCGUGUAGGCGGCCAGACAGGUCAGCUGUGAAAACUCGAGGCUCAACCUCGAGACGUCGGUUGAAACCGUCUGGCUAGAGUCCGGAAGAGGAGAGUGGAAUUCCCGGUGUAGCGGUGAAAUGCGCAGAUAUCAGGAGGAACACCAAUGGCGAAGGCAGCUCGCUGGGACGUGACUGACGCUGAGACGCGAAAGCGUGGGGAGCAAACAGG
rnacentral:rRNA from 1 species